GUUGGUGUAGUGUAGUUGUUUGAACAUUGGACUGAAAUUCUGAAUACCAGGGGUCGAAUCCCUGCUUGGGCA